rnacentral:rRNA from 1 species
UACAGAGGUGGCAAGCGUUGUUCGGAAUUACUGGGCGUAAAGGGCGCGUAGGCGGCCUUCUAAGUCAGACGUGAAAUCCCCAGGCUUAACUUGGGAACUGCGUCUGAUACUGGGAGGCUUGAGUUUGGGAGAGGGAUGCGGAAUUCCAGGUGUAGCGGUGAAAUGCGUAGAUAUCUGGAGGAACACCGGUGGCGAAGGCAAUCCCCUGGGCCUGCACUGACGCUCAUGCACGAAAGCGUGGGGAGCAAACAGG